rnacentral:rRNA from 1 species
UAACGCGUUAAGUCGACCGCCUGGGGAGUACGGCCGCAAGGUUAAAACUCAAAUGAAUUGACGGGGGCCCGCACAAGCGGUGGAGCAUGUGGUUUAAUUCGAUGCAACGCGAAGAACCUUACCUGGCCUUGACAUCCAGAGAACUUAGCAGAGAUGCUUUGGUGCCUUCGGGAACUCUGAGACAGGUGCUGCAUGGCUGUCGUCAGCUCGUGUUGUGAAAUGUUGGGUUAAGUCCCGCAACGAGCGCAACCCUUAUCCUUUGUUGCCAGCGGUUCGGCCGGGAACUCAAAGGAGACUGCCGGUGAUAAACCGGAGGAAGGUGGGGAUGACGUCAAGUCAUCAUGGCCCUUACGGCCAGGGCUACACACGUGCUACAAUGGCGCAUACAAAGAGAAGCGACCUCGCGAGAGCAAGCGGACCUCAUAAAGUGCGUCGUAGUCCGGAUUGGAGUCUGCAAC